rnacentral:rRNA from 5 species
ACGGGUGAGUAACACGUGGGAACGUACCCUUUACUACGGAAUAACGCAGGGAAACUUGUGCUAAUACCGUAUGUGCCCUUCGGGGGAAAGAUUUAUCGGUAAGGGAUCGGCCCGCGUUGGAUUAGCUAGUUGGUGGGGUAAAGGCCUACCAAGGCGACGAUCCAUAGCUGGUCUGAGAGGAUGAUCAGCCACAUUGGGACUGAGACACGGCCCAAACUCCUACGGGAGGCAGCAGUGGGGAAUAUUGGACAAUGGGCGCAAGCCUGAUCCAGCCAUGCCGCGUGAGUGAUGAAGGCCCUAGGGUUGUAAAGCUCUUUCACCGGAGAAGAUAAUGACGGUAUCCGGAGAAGAAGCCCCGGCUAACUUCGUGCCAGCAGCCGCGGUAAUACGAAGGGGGCUAGCGUUGUUCGGAAUUACUGGGCGUAAAGCGCACGUAGGCGGACAUUUAAGUCAGGGGUGAAAUCCCAGAGCUCAACUCUGGAACUGCCUUUGAUACUGGGUGUCUUGAGUAUGGAAGAGGUGAGUGGAAUUCCGAGUGUAGAGGUGAAAUUCGUAGA